GAUGAACGCUGGCGGCGUGCCUAAUACAUGCAAGUAGAACGCUGAAGGAGGAGCUUGCUCUUCUGGAUGAGUUGCGAACGGGUGAGUAACGCGUAGGUAACCUGCCUGGUAGCGGGGGAUAACUAUUGGAAACGAUAGCUAAUACCGCAUGACAACAGCUAUUGCAUGAUAACGGUUGAAAAGGGGCAACUGCUCCACUACCAGAUGGACCUGCGUUGUAUUAGCGAGUUGGUGAGGUAACGGCUCACCAAGGCGAGGGUACAUAGCCGACCUGAGAGGGUGGUCGGCCAGACUGGGAGUGAGACACGGCCCAGUGUGCUACGGGGGGGAGCCGUAGGGAAUCGUCGGCAAGGGGCGGGAGUCUGACCGAGCAACGCCGCGUGCGUGAAGAAGGUUUUCGGAUCGUAAAGCUCUGUUGUAAGAGAAGAACGAGUGUGAGAGUGGAAAGUUCACACUGUGACGGUAUCUUACCAGAAAGGGACGGCUAACUACGUG
rnacentral:rRNA from 1 species